CCUACGGGAGGCAGCAGUGGGGAAUCUUGCGCAAUGGGCGAAAGCCUGACGCAGCCAUGCCGCGUGUAUGAUGAAGGUCUUAGGAUUGUAAAAUACUUUCACCGGUGAAGAUAAUGACUGUAGCCGGAGAAGAAGCCCCGGCUAACUUCGUGCCAGCAGCCGCGGUAAUACGAAGGGGGCUAGCGUUGCUCGGAAUUACUGGGCGUAAAGGGAGCGUAGGCGGACAUUUAAGUCAGGGGUGAAAUCCCGGAGCUUAACUUCGGAACUGCCUUUGAUACUGGGUGUCUUGAGUGUGAGAGAGGUAUGUGGAACUCCGAGUGUAGAGGUGAAAUUCGUAGAUAUUCGGAAGAACACCAGUGGCGAAGGCGACAUACUGGCUCAUUACUGACGCUGAGGCUCGAAAGCGUGGGGAGCAAACAGGAUUAGAUACCCUGGUAGUCCACGCCGUAAACGAUGAUUGCUAGUUGUCGGGAAGCUUGCUUCUCGGUGACGCAGCUAACGCAUUAAGCAAUCCGCCUGGGGAGUACGGUCGCAAGAUUAAAACUCAAAGNAGUGACGNGNGAGAGNGCGAGCGACGAGAGGAG
rnacentral:rRNA from 1 species